rnacentral:pre_miRNA from 1 species
UAACAUCUGCAGGCUGCUGGCCCCCAGGCUGGGCUGGGCAAGUAACUCUUCGAAGGGCUCCCCCUCAAGCAUGACUAGGAGC